rnacentral:rRNA from 1 species
UAAUAGCGUAUAUUAAAGUUGUUGCAGUUAAAAAGCUCGUAGUUGAAUUUCUGGCGGGCGCGCCGGUCUUCCAAGUGUUGUACUGGGCGCAGUCCGCCAUCCUUGUGGAGAGGGCUCGCAUUGAGUUGCGUGUCGGAUCUGCAUCAUUUACUGUGAAAAAAUUAGAGUGUUUAAAGCAGGCUGUCGCUUGGAUACAUUAGCAUGGAAUAAUAAGAUAGGACUUCGGUCUAUUUUGUUGGUUGCGAACCGAGGUAAUGAUUAAUAGGGAUAGUUGGGGGUAUUCAUAUUUAAUUGUCAGAGGUGAAAUUCUUGGAUUUAUGAAAGAUGAACAACUGCGAAAGCAUUUACCAAGGAUGUUUUCAUUAA